AACGAACGCUGGCGGCGUGCCUAACACAUGCAAGUCGAACGGAAUUAGAGAGCUUGCUCUUUAAUUUAGUGGCGCACGGGUGAGUAACGCGUAGAUAAUCUGCCCGACGAUCUGGGAUAACAGUUCGAAAGGACUGCUAAUACCGGAUAAGCCCACGGAGUCUUUGGAUUCUGCGGGAAAAGGGGGGGACCUUUUGGCCUUCUGUCGUCAGAUGAGUCUGCGUACCAUUAGCUAGUUGGUAGGGUAAAGGCCUACCAAGGCGACGAUGGUUAGCUGGGCUGAGAGGACGAUCAGCCACACUGGAACUGAGACACGGUCCAGACUCCUACGGGAGGCAGCAGUGGGGAAUUUUGCGCAAUGGGCGAAAGCCUGACGCAGCAACGCCGCGUGGGUGAUGAAGGCUUUCGGGUCGUAAAGCUCUGUCGAGGGGAAAGAAGUGUAUUGUGGUUAAUACCCAUGAUACUUGACGGUACCCCUAAAGGAAGCACCGGCUAACUCCGUGCCAGCAGCCGCAGUAAUAC
rnacentral:rRNA from 1 species